rnacentral:tRNA from 1 species
GCGGGCGUGGUGGAACUGGUAGACACGCCAGACUUAGGAUCUGGUGACGAAAGUCGUGGGGGUUCAAGUCCCUUCGCCCGCACCA